CCAAAUCUUUGGGGAGGGUGCAGGGUGCUGGGAGUUGUAUGGGGGGGACAGUUUCACCAAGCUGGGAACAAAGAAAACAUAAGCAAAUAUCACCAACAGCUGAGGAAACAUCAUCAUCACAGCGUACCUUCUGUGGAGAUAAUUUAUUGCAUCUUGCUCAUUUUUUUGCCAUUCAAAAAAAAAAAAAAAAAAAAAUUCCCUUUUGGACCAAGUCUCUUUUUUGUUUUCAUUUCUCUGGAAUACAUCCCAGAUACAGAGUUCUUGAAUCAUCGGAGUCCACACCUUUACAUUACUAGCUUCAGCUGUCUGGAAAACCUUUUCAAGAAGAAAAGCAAAACGGGCCAUUCCAUUUUAUUGGAAAGUCAAGACUUGGAGACGUCAACAAGAGCCAUUCUUUAACCGCUGGAACUCUUACCUUUUGACUUUGACCUGGGAGGCAGUCACCAUGCCCUUUUUUACACUUCAUAAACCCUCACAAUGAUGAUGUUACUGCCAUACACUGUUACAAAUCCUAUGGUCUGAAGUACUGAGCUUUUGCCUUGUAUAUGACAACAUUUGCAAGGUACUUCUAUCCUAAACAACUACAGUGUAUUCAAUGUAUUUCAUUAGUAAAAACCAACCAACAAACAUGUAAACGUAUUCACCCUUAUAGUGAUACCUUUAUUUAGCCCCUCUAAAACUGACAUUUGUUUAGUCUGAGUGUAAAAACUGAAAACGUAGAAAACUGAAAUUGUGUAAACUGUGUGACUGUCUAUAGUUAUGUCAGUGAUCCAGACUGUAUAUGUGUAACCACUGUAAGAGGCAGCAGAAAUGCAACAUCGCUAAUGCUUUUGAUCUUAGCGCAGAAGGAACUCCGCUUUGAGAUAAGAGAGUGGGUUUUGGGAAGUGAAACUAAUCAUGUGUCUGUUGGUCAAAACUCUUCUCCACAACGUCAAAAUCUCUCAGUUUCAGCAAAGAUGCUUCAGAUAAAUAUAUUGGUUAGAUUUCCAGCUUAGCUCAUCUACCAUGAAGACUAGGGCCAAAAUCGAACAUUUCCCUGACCACUGAGAACUGCAACCUGGUAUAAAGCUAAAAACGAAGCAACAACUUAAAUAAAUGAGCAUCGCAUUGUGGACUGAGAGACAUGACAAUGGGGGUGAGGGUUUGAUGAUUGAUUGAGAGUGAAGGAAAUGAAAUGUCUCCUGAUCUCAAUGUACCAGAGAAAUACAACACUCAUGACAGAGACACGGGAGGUUUUAGCUACUCUCAGCUACGCGUCCCUAAAAGCACCAAGUAAUCUGAGCUAAUCACGAUCCAAUUUAAUUAAGCACUGUUUGAGAUUUCUUUGCUAGCAGCCAUUAAUUAAGAUUCAAAAAUCUUUUUUUUUCUUCUUGUCUUCGUCCUGUGUAUCUUGUUGUUCAAUGUUAUGAACAACACUGGCGUGGCCUAACAAGGGAUGUGGGUAGCAGAGAAAGGCCUCCGCCCUUUUCAACAAAAGCUUCUUUGUGUUUAUAAUAAUCUGUGAGGUCUGAAGUCCAUUUUUGUAAUUCUUUCUUGUUUAUUUUUCCACCAUGCAUUAGCAUAGCAUGUGUUUCAUGUGUUUAACAGUUCCUACAUUAUGAUGGUAGAACCUUGGAAAGUUUGGUUCUAACCACAGUGCUGUAUGCUUAAUAAAUAUGUGCUGACAUUAA